rnacentral:rRNA from 1 species
GAAUUCGCCCUUAGAGUUUGAUCUUGGCUCAAGACAAACCCUGGCGCCUUGCUUAAAACUUGCAAGUCAAACGGAGCACCCCUGAAAAAUUUUUCGGACAAUGGAAGGGAAUGUUUAAUGGGGGACUGUUGAUUAACGAUUGAGGAACCGGCCUUCCAAAGGUGAACAACGUUUGGAACCAACUGCUAAUACCGCAUGAUGUGUUUCAAUGGCAUCAUCGAAACUCAAAAAAUUUAUCGCUGGAAAAUGGCCUCCCGUCGGAUUAUCUGGAAGGCGGGGUACCGGCCCCCCUAGGCAACAAUCAGUGGCCGGACUGAGAGGUUGACCGGCCACAUUGGGACUGAAAUACGGCCCAAAUUCCUUCGGGAGGCAGUGUUGGGGAAUAUUGGGCAAGGGGCGCACGUCUUGACCCAUCACCCCCGGAUGAAGGAAGAAGGUUUUGGGGUUGUAAUCUUUUUUAAAGUGGAAAGAACAGAAGACGGUACCUGUCUAAGAAGCCCCGGCUAACUACGUGCCAGCAGCCGCGGUAAUACGUAGGUGGCAAGCGUUAUCCGGAUUUACUGGGUGUAAAGGGAGUGUAGCCGGGAAUGCAAGUCUGAAGUGAAAUCCCGGGGCUCAACCCCGGAACUGCUUUGGAAACUGUUUAUCUUGAGUGCAGGAGAGGUCAUCGGAAUUCCUAGUGUAGCGGUGAAAUGCGUAGAUAUUAGGAGGAACACCAGUGGCGAAGGCGGCUGACUGGACUGUAACUGACGUUGAGGCUCGAAAGCGUGGGGAGCAAACAGGAUUAGAUACCCUGGUAGUCCACGCCGUAAACGAUG